UUUAAUUGAAGAGUUUGAUCAUGGCUCAGAUUGAACGCUGGCGGCAGGCCUAACACAUGCAAGUCGAGCGGUAACAGGAAAGUGCUUGCACUUUUGCUGACGAGCGGCGGACGGGUGAGUAAUGUCUGGGGAUC
rnacentral:rRNA from 1 species